AAUCAACUUAUACAAUUUCAAGCUAAUCAACCAUCAUUCUUUCAUGCUUUUAAACUAUUCAACUAAAAAAUUAUACCAACCAUUGAACUAGGCUACCAUUAAAUUCAUAAGCCAACUUAAAAUGGACACAUAUACCAUAAGCAUUCUUUAUCAACAAGGCAUAAUCUUGUCUCAUAUCAUUAAUGUUGUUUAUAACAACAUUUC
rnacentral:lncRNA from 1 species